rnacentral:rRNA from 1 species
AGAGUUUGAUCCUGGCUCAGGACGAACGCUGGCGGCGUGCCUAACACAUGCAAGUCGAGCGAGUGGAGUUCUUCGGAACAAAGCUAGCGGCGGACGGGUGAGUAACACGUGGGCAACCUGCCUCAUAGAGGGGAAUAGCCUCCCGAAAGGGAGAUUAAUACCGCAUAAGAUUGUAGCUUCGCAUGAAGUAGCAAUUAAAGGAGCAAUCCGCUAUGAGAUGGGCCCGCGGCGCAUUAGCUAGUUGGUGAGGUAACGGCUCACCAAGGCGACGAUGCGUAGCCGACCUGAGAGGGUGAUCGGCCACAUUGGGACUGAGACACGGCCCAGACUCCUACGGGAGGCAGCAGUGGGGAAUAUUGCACAAUGGGGGAAACCCUGAUGCAGCAACGCCGCGUGAGUGAUGACGGCCUUCGGGUUGUAAAGCUCUGUCUUCAGGGACGAUAAUGACGGUACCUGAGGAGGAAGCCACGGCUAACUACGUGCCAGCAGCCGCGGUAAUACGUAGGUGGCGAGCGUUGUCCGGAUUUACUGGGCGUAAAGGGAGCGUAGGCGGACUUUUAAGUGAGAUGUGAAAUACCCGGGCUCAACUUGGGUGCUGCAUUUCAAACUGGAAGUCUAGAGUGCAGGAGAGGAGAAUGGAAUUCCUAGUGUAGCGGUGAAAUGCGUAGAGAUUAGGAAGAACACCAGUGGCGAAGGCGAUUCUCUGGACUGUAACUGACGCUGAGGCUCGAAAGCGUGGGGAGCAAACAGGAUUAGAUACCCUGGUAGUCCACGCCGUAAACGAUGUCGACUUGGAGGUUGUGCCCUUGAGGCGUGGCUUCCGGAGCUAACGCGUUAAGUCGACCGCCUGGGGAGUACGGCCGCAAGGUUAAAACUCAAAUGAAUUGACGGGGGCCCGCACAAGCGGUGGAGCAUGUGGUUUAAUUCGAUGCAACGCGAAGAACCUUACCUGGUCUUGACAUCCACGGAAGUUUUCAGAGAUGAGAAUGUGCCUUCGGGAACCGUGAGACAGGUGCUGCAUGGCUGUCGUCAGCUCGUGUUGUGAAAUGUUGGGUUAAGUCCCGCAACGAGCGCAACCCUUAUCCUUUGUUGCCAGCGGUCCGGCCGGGAACUCAAAGGAGACUGCCAGUGAUAAACUGGAGGAAGGUGGGGAUGACGUCAAGUCAUCAUGGCCCUUACGACCAGGGCUACACACGUGCUACAAUGGCGCAUACAAAGAGAAGCGACCUCGCGAGAGCAAGCGGACCUCAUAAAGUGCGUCGUAGUCCGGAUUGGAGUCUGCAACUCGACUCCAUGAAGUCGGAAUCGCUAGUAAUCGUGGAUCAGAAUGCCACGGUGAAUACGUUCCCGGGCCUUGUACACACCGCCCGUCACACCAUGGGAGUGGGUUGCAAAAGAAGUAGGUAGCUUAACCUUCGGGAGGGCGCUUACCACUUUGUGAUUCAUGACUGGGGUGAAGUCGUAACAAGGUAACCGUAGGGGAACCUGCGGUUG